rnacentral:rRNA from 1 species
UGGGGAAUAUUGGACAAUGGGGGCAACCCUGAUCCAGCAAUGCCGCGUGAGUGAUGAAGGCCUUCGGGUUGUAAAGCUCUUUUGGCGGGGACGAUGAUGACGGUACCCGCAGAAUAAGCCCCGGCUAACUUCGUGCCAGCAGCCGCGGUAAUACGAAGGGGGCAAGCGUUGUUCGGAAUUACUGGGCGUAAAGGGCGCGUAGGCGGCCGAUCAAGUCAGGCGUGAAAUUCCCGGGCUCAACCCGGGGGCUGCGCUUGAUACUGAUUGGCUUGAAUGCGGGAGAGGAUAGUGGAAUUCCCAGUGUAGAGGUGAAAUUCGUAGAUAUUGGGAAGAACACCAGUGGCGAAGGCGGCUAUCUGGCCCGUUAUUGACGCUGAGGCGCGAAAGCGUGGGGAGCAAACA